rfam:Streptomyces violaceusniger Tu 4113, complete genome.
CUUGAUGGCCCCCAGCAACAGCGGCCGACCCUCCGGCCGGCCCUGCCCAUAUGUCGCGAGCAGCGCCUGCGCCUC